rnacentral:pre_miRNA from 1 species
GAGUUACUCCCUCUGUUCCGAAUUACUCGUCACAGAAAUGGAUGUAUCUAGAUGUAUUUUAGUUGUAGAUACAUCCAUUUCUACGACGAGUAAUUUGAAACAGAGGGAGUACUUG